rnacentral:lncRNA from 1 species
CAUGGCCUACGUGAGCGAUUGCACGCGACGAGCGGCGUACAUACGAUACAAAGCGAUGCGACAUAAUCAGUUGGGUUGAUAAUUUCGCGCGAUUCGCACGUGAUUGUCGGAACUAAAUCAAAGCAUGGAUCUAGAAAUUUUAAUCAAUUUAAUACAGGAACGUCCUGUUUUGUGGGACAAGAGAAAUAAGAGUUACCACGACAGACUAUUAACGCACAGAGAAUGGGAAAAGGUCGGUGACGUCAUGGGAACGACAUGGUGUUGUUCAAAAAAUUGUUUGAAUUUCUCUCUUACUGUAAUAGCUGCCCGGGAUGCUCAAGAUAAAAACGUGAGCCAUAAAUACGUAUUAGAAAUGAUACGAAAAUUUGAAGAGACGGUAUCGAUUUGCAAUAAGAAAAAAUAUGAAAAUAGAGUUCUCGAUGAAGCAUGCCAAGUUGAAGUACCAGGACAAUUUGCUAUGGAUCCAACUUUGUCUAUACCAAAGGCCGCAAAACUAACAAAUAUUUUCACUGGUUCCGUACAUAAAGUUAAAAAAAAAUAAGUUCUUUCCUUAUAAAAUUCAUAUUCUUCAUGAAUUCGGAGAAGAUGAUUUUGAUAGGGGAAUUCAAUUUUGUGAAGUGAUGUGCCAGCGAAUUGACGACGAUCCCCAUUUAUUGAAGAACAUUUGCUUCAGUGACGAAUCGACCUUUUUUUAAAUGGACUGGUGAACAGACAUAACUGUAGAUACUGGGAUAAUGAAAAUCCGCAUGUUUUUCGGGAAGGCCAUACCCAAUAUCCCCAAAAAAUUAAUGUUUGGGCAGAAAUUUAUGGGAAUGAAAUAAUCGGGCCAUUUUUUUUGGAAGAAAAUUUGACUGGCGAAAUUUAUUUAAACCUAUAUUUUAGAAAAUGCAAUAUACCCUUCCAUCAUCCAAUCUAUGGAAAAUCAAGUAGAUCAACAUGGUGCUAUAUUAUUGAAUGAAAAUAAUAUACAUUUUCAGCAGGAUGGAGCUCCCGCGCACUACACUUUGGUAGUUCGAGAGUGGCUUGAUGAAAAUUUUCGAGAAAAGUGGAUUGGCAGACGUGGUACAAUCGAAUGGCCUGCGGACCUAACCCCACUAGACUUUUUUCUUUGGGGCUACUUAAAAAGCUAAGUUUAUAAAACCCCACCUGAGAGCAUUGAGAAUUUAAAAAAUAGAAUAUUUCAAGAAUGCAGAGAAAUUAGCGGGCAGACCCUUGCCCUUAGAACAUUGAAAGGCUAGAAGUAGCAUGCCGUGGAACUAUGGGCAGGUUUGUUUGCUUGCAACAUCUCUGAUGCAAUGAUGCCAAAUGCUUAUAGAGAAAUGGCAAAAAUCACUUUAUAAUAGCAUAAAAAUUUUCAGUUGUUUCCGAAGGCACAAAACAAUACUACUGCUCCCCUUUAAUAAAAUAUCAAGCAUUUUUUUAAAAUAAAUUUAUUAAGAUAUCGAAUACAUUAAAGUCAAUAUACGUUAAAUAAAUGAAAAUAAAGUACGAAGAAACGAGAAAACGGUAAUGGCAUCGCAACGCCGCUCGAUCGCAUUGUUGAUGUCACCGAUACAAGCACUCUUUACCAGUGACGUCGUCAACAAAUAUUUACCUGACAAAUUUUUAUUAAUUAUUAAAGAGUUUGACUAUAAGUAAUAUUACCAUUUAUGAGCUAUUUAUGUGUUUUUUUUUAACGGACUUCAUUAGAGGAAGGUCCUAAUAAAAGGCAGCAUUUUUGUCAAAGCAUUUUUAUGGAAAUUAAAUAUUUUAUUAAUAUAAUAUUAUAGAUUUCUUAAUAAAUCAUGUUUUAAGACACACAUUUUUAACAUUUUGCAAAAUUUUAUUGUUAUAUUGGACAAAACUCAGUUUUACAUCACUUACUUAUAUCACAUAAUAUAUACUUCUAUGGUGCUGACUUUUUCAAAGGGACAGUAUUGCUUCAGCGGAAAAAGUUAAAACUACAAGGAUGUUCAAAUUGUGAAGGAGUUGCAGGUUUUUUGUAGGUUAUAAGAUUUUUAUUUAUUUAUGAGUAUUACAUUUUAUUUAUGAGUAUUUAGCCUGUAUAAUGGUUUCGAGACAUUUAAUAGUGACCUAUAUAAUACCUAAUACCAAUUAUUAUAUCAUAUUAAUUUAUACUAAAAAACAAAGCUUACCUAAGAAUAAAGACUAUGUACAAUAGAUUAGAUAGUUUAUUAGUAGUAAUAUACAAAGAAGUACUUUUACAAGUCAAAUAAAAUAUGUAGUAUGUUGGGCUUUUUCGAAAAUCAUGUUAUUAUUUCUUAAGUAUUUUAAUAAUGACUUGAGAUCUAAUUCAAUUUCUUUGGCGCAAAUUUGUUUGUUGCAAUCUUCGAAUUUUAUUUUCUUUUUUUUUCUAUAAUUUGGUGACAAGUGAUUUAGCUUUUAAAACGGUGGAAUCAUCAGUGCUUAGGUCCUCAGGAUAUCAUUUUGAUUUUACCCUAGAAUAAUAUACAUAAAAAUAUAGUAUUACCAAAAUUAAAAAAAUGUAUUAUGAUAAUCCAAUUGAUCAAUAAAAUGUAUGUUAUUAAUAAAGAAUCUUUGUAAUAUCAUACAUUUAAUUAAUAUUAAAUAUUUUAAUAUUAAACAAAUAUAACACAAUAAAAUACUAUAUCACUUUUAAAUAAGAUAUAUAGAAUAGGAUAAUACAUGGCAAAAAACUAGUAGUCUAUUUUGAGUGUAUUUUACGUUUUCCUUGGCAGAGUCAGGGAAUGUGUACCAGUUAAACAAAAACGGCUUGGAUUAGAAAUAGUAAUUGUUGACCUAGACCCCACGAUUACUGUAGAACUAUUAAUCUCAGAUGCAGUUAUUGUUGAUGAUGAAUGAUCAGAUCUGUAAUUAUACAAAAUUUGGUGUAUCAAAAA